AACGAACGUUGGCGGCGUGGAUUAGGCAUGCAAGUCGAGGGAAUCCCAGCAAUGGGGGAACCGGCGUAAGGGGCAGUAAGGCAUGGGUACCUACCCUGAAGUUCGGGAUAGCCAUCAGAGAUGGUGGGUAAUACCGGAUGAUGUCGUGAGACCAAAGAUUUAUCGCUUUGGGAGGGGCCCAUGUGAUAUUAGCUAGUUGGUGAGGUAACGGCCCACCAAGGCAAAGAUGUCUAGCGGGUAUGAGAGUACGACCCGCGCCACUCGCACUGAGACACUGGCGAGACACCUACGGGUGGCUGCAGUCGAGGAUCUUCGUCAAUGGGCGAAAGCCUGAACGAGCGACGCCGCGUGCGCGAUGAAGGCCUUCGGGUUGUAAAGCGCUUUAGUGGGGGAGAAAAGGGUAAAACCUUGAUCUAUCCCAAAAAUAAGCUCGGGCUAAGUUCGUGCCAGCAGCCGCCGUAAUAC
rnacentral:rRNA from 1 species